CUGUGGUUUGUGGGCCAUUCUAUGAGUGGUUAUUUUUUAUUUGUGUUCCUUGUGAUCGACUGAUUGUCAUCACCUUUGGACUUAUUUCAUUUGAUGUGAGGGGGAGGGAGUGGAGGAGGUCAUGAGUGAAGGACAAGCACAGAAAGUGCAGAGUCAUUCUGCAGAGCCGGUAUGUGACAAUGACGGAUGUGACGAGAGAGUGGUCACCACCUGUCUCACCUGCAGAACCUUGCACUGCAUGUUCCAUGCCAGGCAGCACAAAGCAGUAGAAGAAAGUCACAGAUUACAUGACCUGGCCAAUCCACAAAGAAACCAGCAACGGGACCCAGCAGCACAAGAUCUGCAAAAACAACCACACCGAGGGGAAAAGGCUGUUUCUGUCAAAAAAGCUCAGCUGGAGGCGCAGUCAAAGACCUCUGACUGGCAGGAGCAUUCUAAUUUACCGGGCUAUUAUUCUGCCACAACGGAUUCAGCAAUUAGCGAAAGCUCAUCUAGUAU